rnacentral:piRNA from 1 species
UGAAGGGCAGCACAGUAUAAGG